rnacentral:rRNA from 1 species
GAUGAACGCUAGCGGCAGGCUUAACACAUGCAAGUCGAGGGGCAGCACGAUGUAGCAAUACAUUGGUGGCGACCGGCGCACGGGUGCGUAACACGUAUGGAAUCUGCCUUGUACUGGGAGAUAGCCCGGAGAAAUCCGGAUUAAUAUCCCAUAAUAGCUUGGGUGGCAUCACUCGGGUUUGAAAGCUCCGGCGGUACAAGAUGACCAUGCGCACGAUUAGCUAGUUGGUGAGGUAACGGCUCACCAAGGCUACGAUCGUUAGGGGGCCUGAGAGGGUUAUCCCCCACACUGGUACUGAGACACGGACCAGACUCCUACGGGAGGCAGCAGUGAGGAAUAUUGCGCAAUGGAGGCAACUCUGACGCAGCCAUGCCGCGUGCAGGAAGAAGGCGCUACGCGUUGUAAACUGCUUUUAACCGGGAAGAAACCCCACGGACGUGUCCUGGGUUGACGGUACCGGAGGAAUAAGCACCGGCUAACUUCGUGCCAGCA